CGCUCAGGACGAACGCUGGCGGCGUGCUUAACACAUGCAAGUCGAACGCUGAAGCCCCAGCUUGCUAGGGUGGAUGAGUGGCGAACGGGUGAGUAACACGUGAGUAACCUGCCCAUCACUGUGGGAUAAGCGCUGGAAACGGUGUCUAAUACAGGAUAUGCACAAUGGCCGCAUGGUCUGUUGUGGGAAAGAUUUAUCGGUGGUGGAUGGACUCGCGGCCUAUCAGCUUGUUGGUGAGGUAAUGGCUCACCAAGGCGACGACGGGUAGCCGGCCUGAGAGGGUGACCGGCCACACUGGGACUGAGACACGGCCCAGACUCCUACGGGAGGCAGCAGUGGGGAAUAUUGCACAAUGGGCGAAAGCCUGAUGCAGCAACGCCGCGUGAGGGAUGACGGCCUUCGGGUUGUAAACCUCUUUUAGUAGGGAAGAAGCGCAAGUGACGGUACCUGCAGAAAAAGCACCGGCUAACUACGUGCCAGCAGCCGCGGUAAUACGUAGGGUGCAAGCGUUGUCCGGAAUUAUUGGGCGUAAAGAGCUCGUAGGCGGCUUGUCGCGUCUGCUGUGAAAACCCGAGGCUCAACCUCGGGCUUGCAGUGGGUACGGGCAGGCUAGAGUGCGGUAGGGGAGAUUGGAAUUCCUGGUGUAGCGGUGGAAUGCGCAGAUAUCAGGAGGAACACCGAUGGCGAAGGCAGAUCUCUGGC
rnacentral:rRNA from 1 species